rnacentral:rRNA from 1 species
AUUGAACGCUGGCGGCAGGCCUAACACAUGCGAGUCGAGCGGAUGAAGGGAGCUUGCUCCUGGAUUCAGCGGCGGACGGGUGAGUAAUGCCUAGGAAUCUGCCUGGUAGUGGGGGAUAACGUCCGGAAACGGGCGCUAAUACCGCAUAAGUCCUGAGGGAGAAAGUGGGGGAUCUUCGGACCUCACGCUAUCAGAUGAGCCUAGGUCGGAUUAGCUAGUUGGUGGGGUAAGGGCCUACCAAGGCGAGGAUUCGUAACUGGUCUGAGAGGAUGAUCAGUCACACUGGAACUUGACCACGGUCCAGGCGCCUACGGGAGGCAGCAGUGGGGAAUAUUGGACAGUGGUCGAAAGCCUGAUCCAGCCAUGCCGCGUGUGUGAAAAAGGUCUUCGGAUUGUAAAGCACUUUAAGUUGGGAGGAAGGGCAGUAAGUUAAUACCUUGCUUUUUUGACGUUACCAACAGAAUAAGCACCGGCUAACUUCGUG